rnacentral:rRNA from 1 species
UACGUAGGGGGCAAGCGUUGUCCGGAUUUAUUGGGCGUAAAGAGCUCGUAGGCGGUUUGGUAAGUCAGGUGUGAAAUCUCCACGCUCAACGUGGAGGGGCCACCUGAUACUGCCAUGACUGGAGUCCGGUAGAGGAGUGUGGAAUUCCCGGUGUGGCGGUGAAAUGCGCAGAUAUCGGGAGGAACACCCGUAGCGAAGGCGGCACUCUGGGCCGGUACUGACGCUGAGGAGCGAAAGCGUGGGGAGCAAACAGG